rnacentral:Y_RNA from 1 species
GGCAGGUCCAGAGGUGGUGAGUUAUCUCAACUGAUUGCUCACAGUCAGUUAAAGAUAGAGCUCCAUGUUCUACCCUCCCACUUUUAACUAGUGCACUUGGUUAGUCUAAA